rnacentral:rRNA from 1 species
UACGUAGGGUGCAAGCGUUAAUCGGAAUUACUGGGCGUAAAGCGCGUGUAGGCUGUUUCGCAAGUCGGAUGUGAAAGCCCUGGGCUCAACCUAGGAAGUGCACUCGAAACUGCGAAACUGGAGUCCUGGAGAGGAAGGCGGAAUUCUCGGUGUAGAGGUGAAAUUCGUAGAUAUCGAGAGGAACACCGGUGGCGAAGGCGGCCUUCUGGACAGUGACUGACGCUGAGACGCGAAAGCGUGGGGAGCAAACAGG